CCUCAGCGACUGCGGAGGGACAUUACACAAUAAACAUAUGAAGGCUGCACCGCCAACAGGCGGCAAGGCUGGAGUAUUUUAUUACCCUUGUCUUUUGCGCACUUGUUGUUUCCUGGGCGGGUUCGCCCGCCUCCAGGACCACAUGAUAAACCUUUUUUAUGCAGUUGCAAUCAGCGUCAGUACAACAAAUGUAAAUCAUUUACAACUUUCAACAACGGAUCUCUUGGUUCUGGCAUCGAUGAAGAACGCAGCGAAAUGCGAUACGUAGUGUGAAUUGCAGAAUUCAGUGAAUCAUCGAAUCUUUGAACGCACAUUGCGCCCUUUGGUAUUCCAAAGGGCAUGCCUGUUCGAGCGUCAUUUGUACCCUCAAGCUUUGCUUGGUGUUGGGCGUUUUUUGUCUUUGGUUUUGUCCAAAGACUCGCCUUAAAACGAUUGGCAGCCGGCCUACUGGUUUCGCAGCGCAGCACAUUUUUGCGCUUGCAAUCAGCAAAAGAGGACGGCACUCCAUCAAGACUCUAUAUCACUUUUGACCUCGGAUCAGGUAGGGAUACCCGCUGAACUUAAGCAUUU
rnacentral:rRNA from 1 species